rnacentral:snRNA from 1 species
GUGCUCGCUUCGGUAGCACAUAUACUAAAAUUGGAAAGAUACAGAGAAGAUUAGCAUGGCCUCUGUGCAAAGAUGACAUGCAAACUCAUGAAGUGUUCCUUUUUUUU